UUUUUUAGAUUCCAGUUCUAAGUAAUACCAGGCAGUAUUUGUCUUUCUCCAUCUGGCAGGAUUCAUUCUUAGUAUUUUUAAUUCUUUUACUGAACUGCCUAUUCUCACUCCAUGUUUCCAGUAUCUUCUGCCAUGUCUUCAAGCAUAUUUAUUAUUCUGGUGGAAAAUUCCUCUCCUGUUUUCCAUGAGUUCUGCAUUCUCUGGUAUCCCUCAAACUUGCCAUGCUCGGAAUUUGCCCUCUGAGCUCACCUCUGUUCCCGUGGGGCCAUGAGUCGCCUUGAUGAGUGAGCUGCAUCCUGGAGAGGGGAAAAAUCUAGCCAGCUUGCGCUUCCCCCGAGUGAAAUGGCCCUCCCUGUCCCUGGCCACCUUCCCUGCCAACGAACGUCUAUCUGCUUGCUGGUUACUAAGCACAGCUCUGAGGUCUCUCAUCUCCUCUGACGUCCCUCCCCAGGGGAACACUCCUAUUCAGGUAAGCCAAGUCUAAAAUGGAAAAGCUGUCAAUGCCGCUUCUGAGGGCCUUGGAACACUGAUUAGAUAUUAAGGAAUAAUGAAGGCUUUUAGACAUGAUAACCGGUACUGUGUUUAUGUUAAAAUAAAGAGUUCUCCUCUUUUAGAAAUACAUACUAAAAUAUUUAUAGUUGAAA